rnacentral:rRNA from 1 species
AUUGAACGCUGGCGGCAGGCUUAACACAUGCAAGUCGAGCGGGGUGAUGGUGCUUGCACUAUCACUUAGCGGCGGACGGGUGAGUAAUGCUUAGGAAUCUGCCUAUUAGUGGGGGACUACAUCUCGAAAGGGAUGCUAAUACCGCAUACGUCCUACGGGAGAAAGCAGGGGAUCACUCGUGACCUUGCGCUAAUAGAUGAGCCUAAGUCGGAUUAGCUAGUUGGUGGGGUAAAGGCCUACCAAGGCGACGAUCUGUAGCGGGUCUGAGAGGAUGAUCCGCCGCACUGGGACUGAGAGACGGCCCAGAAUCCUACGGAGGCAGCAGUGGGGAAUAUUGGACAAUGGGGGGAACCCUGAUCCAGCCAUGCCGCGUGUGAAGAAGGCCUUAUGGUUGUAAAGCACUUUAAGCGAGGAGGAGGCUACUCUAGUUAAUACCUAGGGAUAGUGGACGUUACUCGCAGAAUAAGCACCGGCUAACUCUGUGCCAGCCGCCGCCGUAA